rnacentral:rRNA from 1 species
CUAAGAAUAUUCCGCAAUGGACGAAAGUCUGACGGAGCGACGCCGCGUGGAUGAAGAAGGCCGAAAGGUUGUAAAAUCCUUUUGCUGGGGAAGAAUAAGUCUGGGAGGGAAUGCCCGGAUGAUGACAUGAACCGGCGAAUAAGCCCCGGCCAACUACGUGCCAGCAGCCGCGGUAACACGUAGGGGGCGAGCGUUGUUCGGAAUUACUGGGCGUAAAGGGCAUGUAGGCGGUUUUGUAAGCUUGGCGUGAAAGACCACGGCUCAACCGUGGGGUUGCGUUGAGAACUGCGAAGCUUGAGUUAUGGAGAGGGAGCUAGAAUUCCUGGUGUAGGGGUGGAAUCUGUAGAGAUCAGGAAGAAUACCAAUGGCGAAGGCAAGCUCCUGGCCGAUGACUGACGCUGAGGUGCGAAAGUGUGGGGAUCAAACA